GCCUUCGUGGUGUAAUGGUCAGCACACUGAGCCGGUAUUUCAGAGGUCCGCGGUUCGAUCCCCAGCGAAGACC
rfam:Stegodyphus mimosarum contig52368, whole genome shotgun sequence.